rnacentral:rRNA from 1 species
UAAUACGUAGGGGGCAAGCGUUGUCCGGAAUCAUUGGGCGUAAAGCGCGUGUAGGCGGUCCGAUAAGUCGGUUGUGAAAGUCAAGGGCUCAACCCUUGAAUGCCGACCGAUACUGUCGGGCUAGAGUCCGGAAGAGGUGAGUGGAAUUCCUGGUGUAGCGGUGAAAUGCGCAGAUAUCAGGAGGAACACCAAUGGCGAAGGCAGCUCACUGGGACGGUACUGACGCUGAGACGCGAAAGCGUGGGGAGCAAACAGGAUUAGAUACCCUGGUAGUCCACGCCGUAAACGAUGGGCACUAGGUGUGGGAGGUGUCGACUCCUCCCGUGCCGAAGCUAACGCAUUAAGUGCCCCGCCUGGGGAGUACGGCCGCAAGGCUA